rnacentral:rRNA from 1 species
AUUGAACGCUGGCGGCAGGCUUAACACAUGCAAGUCGAGCGGGGUGAUGGUGCUUGCACUAUCACUUAGCGGCGGACGGGUGAGUAAUGCUUAGGAAUCUGCCUAUUAGUGGGGGACAACAUCUCGAAAGGGCUGCUAAUACCGCAUACGACCUACGGGAGAAAGCAGGGGAUCACUUGUGACCUUGCGCUAAUAGAUGAGCCUAAGUCGGAUUAGCUAGUUGGUGGGGUAAAGGCCUACCAAGGCGACGAUCUGUAGCGGGUCUGAGAGGAUGAGCCGCCACACUGGGACUGAGACACGGCCCAGACUCCUACGGGAGGCAGCAGUGGGGAAUAUUGGACAAUGGGGGGAACCCUGAUCCAGCCAUGCCGCGUGUGUGAAGAAGGCCUUAUGGUUGUAAAGCACUUUAAGCGAGGAGGAGGCUCUUUUGGUUAACACCCAAGAUGAGUGGACGUUACUCGCAGAAUAAGCACCGGCUAACUCUGUGCCAGCCGCCGCGGUAA